GAUUAAGCAUGCAAGUCGAACGAGAACCAGUGGUUUCAAGUUUUCGGACGAGAAACCGUUGGGGACAGUGGCGGAAGGGUGAGUAACGCGUGGGCAAUCUGCCCUUAAGUUCGGGACAACGGUUGGAAACGGCCGCUAAUACCGGAUGUGGUUAUCCGUCGCCUGACGGGUGGACUAAAGAUGGGGACCUUUCGGGGCCUGUCGCUUGAGGAGGAGCCCGCGUCCCAUCAGCUUGUUGGUAGGGUAACGGCCUACCAAGGCUUACGGGUAGCUGGUCUGAGAGGAUGAUCAGCCACACUGGGACUGAGACACUGCCCAGACUCCUACGGGAGGCUGCAGUCGAGGAUCAUUGGCAAUGCGCGAAAGCGGGACCAUGCGACGCUGCGUGGAGGAUGACGGCCUUCGGGUUGUAAACUCCUGUCAUUCGGGAAAAACGAGCGGGCCGUUAAUAUCGGUUCGCAGUGAUGGUACCGAAAGAGGAAGCCACGGCUAACUCUGUGCCAGCAGCCGCGGUAAUACAGAGGUGGCAAGCGUUGUUCGGAUUUACUGGGCGUAAAGCGUGCGUAGGCGGUUACGUAUGUCGGAUGUGAAAGCCCAUGGCCCAACCAUGGAAGUGCAUUCGAAACUGCGGAACUAGAGUGCAGGAGGGGAGAGCGGAAUUCAUGGUGUAGCGGUGAAAUGCGUUGAUAUCAUGAAGAACACCGGUGGCGAAGGCGGCUCUCUGGAAUGUUACUGACGCUGAGGCACGAAAGCUGGGGGAGCAAACAGGAUUAGAUACCCUGGUAGUCCCAGCCGUAAACGGUGCGCACUUGGUGUUGGGGGUGUUGACCCCCUCAGUGCCGGAGCUACCGCGUUAAGUGCGCCGCCUGGGGAGUACGGCCGCAAGGCUAAAACUCAAAGAAAUUGACGGGGGCCCGCACAAGCGGAGGAGCAUGUGGCUUAAUUCGAUGCAACGCGAAGAACCUUACCAGGGCUUGACAUGGCGACCCUUCGGGGGUGGUAGCGAAAGUUACCUUUACGAUCACAGGUGCUGCAUGGCUGUCGUCAGUUCGUGCCGUGAGGUGUUGGGUUAAGUCCCGCAACGAACGCAACCCUUGUGGUUAGUUGCCACCGUCGGUGAUGAGCCGGCGAGCACUCUAGCCAGACUGCCCGUGCAAGCGGGAGGAAGGUGGGGAUGACGUCAAGUCAGUAUGGCCCUUACGCCCUGGGCUGCACACGUGCUACAAUGGUCGGUACAGAAGGAUGCAAUACCGCGAGGUGGAGCAAAUCCUCAAAGCCGACCCCAGUUCGGAUUGGAGUCUGCAACUCGACUCCAUGAAGUUGGAUUCGCUAGUAAUGGCGCAUCAGCUACGGCGCCGUGAAUGCGUUCCCGGGCCUUGUACACACCGCCCGUCACAUCAUGAAAGCCGUCUGCACCCGAAGUCACUGAGCUAACCUUUUAUUAGGAGGCAGGUGCCGAAGGUGUGGGUGGUGAUUGGGAUGAAGUCGUAACAAGGUA
rnacentral:rRNA from 1 species